rnacentral:rRNA from 1 species
AGCAGCCGCGGUAAUUCCAGCUCCAAUAGCGUAUAUUAAAGUUGUUGCAGUUAAAAAGCUCGUAGUUGAAUUUCGGGAUCGAUACGUCGGUCGUGCCUUCGGUACGCACUGGCGUUUAUCGAUUUCUCCCUUCUGACGAACCAUGAUGUCAUUAAUUUGGUGUUAUGGGGAAUCAGGACUGUUACUUUGAAAAAAUUAGAGUGUUUAAAGCAGGCAUUAGCUUGAAUACAUUAGCAUGGAAUAAUGAAAUAGGACGUUCGAACCUAUUUUGUUGGUUUCUAGGAUCAACGUAAUGAUUAAUAGGGAUAGUUGGGGGCAUUAGUAUUCAAUUGUCAGAGGUGAAAUUCUUGGAUUUAUUGAAGACUAACUACUGCGAAAGCAUUUGCCAAGGAUGUUUUCAUUAAUCAAGAACGAAAGUUAGGGGAUCGAAGACGAUCAGAUACCGUCGUAGUCUUAACCAUAAACUAUGCCGACUAGGGAUCGGAUGAUGUAAUUUUUAAUGACUCAUUCGGCGCCUUAA